UCUGUCAGCUCCUUCCUUGGGAGCUUGUUGCGGCAUCAUCUAGCGGUUGUUUUUAACAAUUCAGACGAUUGUCCAGUCUGCCGCUAGAUGGUGUGUGUUGUUUUUAAAAUGGCGAAAUGUGUGAAGAGUUUUGUCAUCUUCUGUUUUCGAAUUUUCAUGUUUUACUGCCCAAAAUCAACCAAUUAUUUACAUAAAAUGUACCUACCGUCUAGUCAUCAGAUUAAAUUUGGACUCCAUUUAAAAAAACCAAUUGCUCAACCCUUCUGUGACUCACUCGCUCAGCUUCAUCUGCAUCAUCCUCUCACAUCUUAGACAAAACUGCAAGCUGUUAUGCCCAAAAGUUGUGGCAUUGGAUAUACAGUUACAGGUUCCUUCUUGCCUUACACCUUUAAACACUUGGUGGGGUUGUUGCGUCAUGAAAUUGUAUUGCUGCCAUUUUUUCUGCAUCUCCCACUUCAUAGCUACAAGAAACGAGCCUACAACAGAAAAAAGCCUACAACAGAUUGAGGUUGUGUGGUAUCCCAUUGGAUCCAUUGAAUUUCGCGAGUCAGCCCCCGAUGUCAAUCUACAACGCAGAUUCUAUAUUGGAAUUGUGUGGUCCUGGCACAGAGAUCCUUGAUGCUGGCCUUUGUUCAUUACAGAAGAGUGACUUCUACCAACUCUCUGCUCCAUCCUUAUCUUCAGUACCCACACUCAUCUAGCUUCUCUGCUUAUUAUGCUGCUAAACAAUUUGUCGUACACACCUUCUGUCACUCUCCACGGAAUUAUGCCUAGGUAAUUCAGAUGAGACGUCGAGAAGAUGGAAUUCCGAGACUGGUCAUCAACGUGGAUCAUCGAUCGCGACCGGCACCCGAGACUCGUCAACAACGUGGAUCAUCGUAUUGU